AACACAGCCAGUUUCUGUUUCAAACAAACAAACAAACAAACAAACAAACACCCCAAAACAAUAACAGUUUUGCUGGGAAGGUAAGGAGAGAAAUGGGCAAUAGCUAGAGAAGGGCUUUAAAAAAUUAAAGAUACAAGGGCAUGUUUGUGUGCUAGUAACAAUCUAAGAAAGACCAAAACUAUAAGUGAGGGUGAGGGCAAGAAUGAGCCAUGAAGAGACUGAUGCUUUUGUGGAGAAGAGAUGACUGGAGGAGAAAAGCCUUCAAGAAAGACAGAAGGGAUGCAGGCAGGAGCACAUGUGGGAGGGUCAGCCUUUCCUAGGAAGAGAGGACAUUUUAUUCAGUGCACUAGAAAGGACGUAGGAGAGGAUGGAUUAAGAAGCAGAUAAGUUGGUAGAGUUUGGUGGUGGGAAGAUCAGGAAGUCCUGGCUUUGUAACCUCCCAUUUCUAAGUGAAUUGUAAAAUGAGAUCAUCUGCUGAGCAUGGGGUAGGGAAAGGGGUCUAGAAAGUUUUAGGGGGAUAAAAUGUUAUCUUGGGCAACGAAAAAACAAAAAUUCCUAGGGAAGCUUCCAGCUCCAAUUUUCCACUUGAGAUUUGUGUCCAUGAAUUUAAAGUGAAAUCACUUAGCCAGGUUGUGUGAAGUUCUCUGGCAACAUUUAGAUGCUGCAGCAAAGGCACAGAGAAGGUAAUAAGCACAUGUUGGAGUUUUGCAAAGGGAUUGUGACAGAGGAGAGAGGCUCCAGGGCGUUGGGAUUGUUUGUGAGAGUAAUUAUAAAGAAGGACAAUGGAAUCUAAUUUAUGUAAGGAAGGAAACAAAGGCAGGAAGUGGCUGCUGGAGGGUGGGUGUGUGGUGAGAUCAAUGGGUUAGUGGUCAAGAUAAGGGGCCAGAAGUGUGGGGAUGAAGGGUACCAGAGCAAAUGAGCUAGAAUUACUGGAAAUGAAGGCCAAAUAGAAGGAUUUGGAAAUAGAGAUUUCUGGCCAUGUCAUGGUCUAUGGUGUGGCUGUUGAGUGGGUGGCUGCAGUGGAGUGAGGACAAAGGUUGGUGGGGUAGAAAACAUCAAAGAACAAGACCAAGUGGCUCGUUGAGUUGCACAUACAGAUAUUGAAGUUUUGAGAAUUAUUGUAGGAAGAGGGCAGUGAACAUGAUUGUAACCAGGACCUAAAGUCUUCAGUGAAGGAGGAAGGAUGAUUAAGAGAUAAUUGCAAGGCUGCAUUAAGGGAAGAGAAAGAGGCAUGGAAGAAGAGAAAGCAAAGCAUCACAAUAGGCUUGAAAGCACUUUUUGGGACAAAACUUUGUAUGUGUACUGAAAUGUGGAACUUAGUGGAAGCAAACAGAAAUCUACUACGUUUUUAAGGGAGGUAAAUUGCUAUGAAACCAUGAACCUGGAACCAAAAAGCUUUCGACUAUUGAGUCCUAAAACCAGUUUCACGCCAGCAUACUUGCACCAGCAGAAGGCUGGCUGUUGAAGCUGGGUAACUGCCAAAGGUUGCAUUCUCCCCAAUAUCCACUGUAGAUAUAGCCAUGGUGGAUAAUGGAAAAGGGAGACCCUUCAAUCAAAAGGGAAGAGUCAGGUCACAGAGGACGGUGACAAAGGAGUUCUUCUCAGAAAACAGAAUCAGAGUUGAAUAUAAGAACUUAGUCUGAGGCCUUCAUAAUGCUCUCCAAGCAGGAUUUCAGAAUUGCUAUGAACCAUAAUGGGCGUGUGUGUUUUCCUUCUUUUCAAACAAGGUCUUUAAUUUGCUGUUACUCUGUCCCUGUGCCACCAUUGUAUAUUGGGUGUGUGUAGAGUAGGGGGUGGGUUGGGGGGCAGAUAAUUUUUCUUUUUAGUUCAUAGGUCACUGGACCACCAAGAGACCUGAUGGAGAUACUGGAACAUUGGCGAUCUUGAGCUUUGACCUGGAUGUGCUGACAGGGGAUGUGAAAAGUCAAGGAGAAUGAUGCAAAAAUACUCAUGAACUAUCCGGUGCUGAACAAAUAGAGGGAAGAUAAUGAUGCUGCUGACGAAACUGAUGAAGAAGACCACGAUGAUGAUAAUUGUGCUUUGCUCGUAAAGUUACUUGAUUUUUGACUGACUGAUUAGAUGCAGUUUCCCUGAAUGGAGCUGCCUACCGCCUUCCUUCUAGGGCUUAUCCAGACAACCUUGGAGAAAGCCUGCCUGGUAGAAGAGAAAGGAGCCAAGCAAAACCAAAAAACGGAUAUGAGAUGAAAAGGAAAGAGAGUAGAGUCCUGGUGACAUCAAGUCCUGGCUCUCUUUGGGGAUCCUGGAGAAGAGUAUUUUUAGGAGGCAUUACUGUGAAGCAUAGCAGGUGGCCAGAUGGUAAUGGAAGGAAACAUGGUCCCUUCUAUCGGCUACAAGAACUGAGUGGCAUUCAGAGCUUCUCUCGCAUCUUGGACUCUCAGGCUGCAGAUCAAUCACAAUGCCAUAGAACACAGAUGACACUUUCCCCUGCUUUGGAGACCCGUUGUUCCCAUGGUGUAGAUACAUGUAAGAGGGAGUGCCAUAGAAAAUGACAACUGCUCGUCAGGUGGGAAGCUCACAUGAAGAAGCCUUGUGUCCUUCCUGCAGUGGAAGACAUCUUCGGGAUAGCAGCCAGGGUAUAUACCUGGGAAAAGAUGACCACCAUCAAUCACAGUGGUGUUCAGGAGCUUUCAGUUCUCAUGCCCCCACAGAAACAAUGACUGACAACCAUUCACAGAUGAGAGCACCUUUGUGGAGCCCGGAAGGCCAGCAGAGAGGUCCAAGCAUCCUGCUGAAGAAAAGAAUCUGAACAUAGACACUUUAAAGAGGAUAAGAAAAGCAGUUUCAUUUUACCAGCAUCGGCCUCCCUCAAGGCAGCACAGCUUAAUGUCAAAGAGACCUGCACCUCCAGUGAUUUCUCCCAUAGGGGAAAGUGAGACCUUCUCCAGCCUAAGGGGUUCUUUUCUUUCUCACCUCACCCAGAAUACUGAAUGAAUGACUCAAUAGUCCUGGGACAAUUCGGGGCAGGGGCUCACAGCAACAUGGGUGCAGUACAUAAAGCGUUAUUGUUUCCACUGGCUGCUCUGCAGAAUCCACCAAGAGGCUGCUCACAAACCUUCCAGGACAUAUCACCUGUGGAGGCCACAACAAGACCAUGGUUGUGUCUGGUAUUUUGCCUGCCCUCUCCCCAUAGAUGUGCCUGCAAGAGCCUCUGCAGCUCAUACACCAAAAACACACACAGACAGCCAACUAGACUGCUCUGGGUUGGGAGAAGAUACUUUAAGCACUUCAUGUCACUGCCCUAGGAAAAAUAAAUUGGAGAUUCUCAGUACCCAGCAUGGUUUUAAGGCUUGAGAGAAAGUAUACAAUCGUAACACUUCCUCGUGGAGAGGGAACAAAAGGAGUGGAGUUGGUGUAUCCAUAGGAUAAGUCUGAGAUUCCACAUGCAAGUGAGAUCAUGCAGUAUUUCUUUCUUCAUCUGGCUGAUUUCACUUAGCACAGUGUUCUCCAGGUUCCUCCA
rnacentral:lncRNA from 1 species